GACGAACCGUGCGAACGUUGUUCGGAAUCACUGGGCUUAAAGGGCGCGUAGGCGGGCCACCAAGUCAGGGGUGAAAUCCUGCGGCUCAACCGUAGAAGUGCCUUUGAUACUGGCGGCCUGGAGGGAGGUAGGGGCGUGCGGAACUUCCGGUGGAGCGGUGAAAUGCGUAGAUAUCGGAAGGAACACCAGUGGCGAAAGCGGCGCGCUGGACCGUCUUCUGACGCGUGAGGCGCGGAAAGCCCAGGGGAGCGAACGGG
rnacentral:rRNA from 1 species